rnacentral:rRNA from 1 species
UACGAAGGGGGCUAGCGUUGUUCGGAUUUACUGGGCGUAAAGCGCACGUAGGCGGAUCUUUAAGUCAGAGGUGAAAUCCCAAGGCUCAACCUUGGAACUGCCUUUGAUACUGGAGAUCUUGAGUCCGGGAGAGGUGAGUGGAACUGCGAGUGUAGAGGUGAAAUUCGUAGAUAUUCGCAAGAACACCAGUGGGCGGAGGCGGCUCACUGGCCCGGUACUGACGCUGAGGUGCGAAAGCGUGGGGAGCAACAGG